ensembl:lncRNA
UCUAGGGAAGAAUGCAACGAGUCCGGUUAGGUUUGGUGCAGACGUGUACUUUCGGUUGUUGAAACUGUGGGAUGAAGUACCCAGCCGUCAAGAAUCAGUGCCCAUGUCAUUCCGACCUGCCAGCUUCACCAGGCCAGGCUAUGGACUAACCACCAGCCAGCUCCUCCAGGCCGGGCUCCAGCAGCAGCAGCCGCCUCUUGGGCACAUAAAUGAGGACUUCUCAGAAAACGGUUCGACUGAGGAGGAAAGAGCUGUGACCAAAGUUGAAAGCUGCCAGUGAAAGAGACGGCGUGCCCCCACCCAGCAGCACGGCCCCCCCCACCACGGACCCGGCUUCCACCACGGACCCGGCCUCCACCACGGCCCCCAGCGGGGCCCCCCACCACCACGGCCUCCCC